AUGGCGAUCGCGGACGACAACAUCAUCCUGAACCCGGAGUUCGACGGCGGGCUGGACGGCUGGUCCGGCAGCGGGUGCAAGAUCGAGCUCCACGACUCGCUCGACGAUGGCAAGGUGCUCCCGGCCACCGGCAAGUACUUCGUGGCCGCCACGGGGAGGACCGACACGUGGAACGGCGUCAUGCAGGACGUCACGGCGCGGCUGCAGCGCAAGACGGCCUACGAGGUCGCCGCUACCGUGCGCCUCUCCGGGGCCAACGUCUCGCCGUGCGAGGUCCGCGCCACGCUCGCCGUGCAGACCGCCGACGGCAGGCAGCAGUACAUCGCCGUCGGCAAGUUGCAGGCGUCGGACAAGGACUGGGCGCAGCUGCAGGGGAAGUUCCUGCUCAACAGCACCGUGGCCAAGGCCACCAUCUACAUCGAAGGGCCCAAGGCCGGCGUCGACCUGCUGCUCGACUGCCUGGUGGUCAAGCGCGCCCAGAAGGCACCGCCGUGCUCGCCGCCGGACUUCGAGAAUCUUGAGUACGGUGCCAACAUUAUCCAGAACAGCAACCUCGACGACGGCCUCAACUGUUGGUUCCCGCUUGGGCCGUGCGCGCUAGCCGUCCGUGACGGCUCGCCGCGCGUGCUCCCUCCAAUGGCGCAGGAGUCGCUGGCGCUGGACGACGAGCCGCUCAACGGCAAGCACAUCCACGUCACCGGCCGCACGCAGACGUGGAUGGGCCCCGCGCAGAUCAUCACUGACAAGCUGACCCUCCACGCCACGUACCAGGUCUCUGCCUGGGUCCGCGUCGCCGGCCAGAUGAGCGGCGCGCAGAACAUCAACAUCGCUGUCGCCGUCGAUAGCCAGUGGCUCAACGGCGGGCAGGUCCUGGCACGUGACGAGCGGUGGUACGAGAUCGGCGGCUCGUUCCGUGUGGAGGCCAAGCCAGCGUCACGCGUCAUGGUGUACGUGCAGGGCCCCGACGCCGGCCUGGACCUCAUGGUCGCCGGCUUCCAGGUGUUCCCCGUCGACCGGAAGGCCCGGGUCAAGCACCUGAGGAAGAUCACCGACAAGGUGCGCAAGCGAGAUGUGGUCGUGAAGCUGACGGGGACCGACGGCACCGUCAUCCAGGCGGCGGAGUGCGUGGAGGUGCGCGUGCGCCAGGUGUCCAACAGCUUCCCGCUGGGCGCGUGCAUCAUGCGCACCAACAUGGACAACGAGGACUUUGUGGAUUUCUUCACCAAGAACUUCAACUGGGCCGUGUUCGGGAACGAGCUCAAGUGGUACUGGACGGAGCCGCAGAGGGGGCAGGUCAACUACGCCGACGCCGACGACCUCCUCAAGCUCUGCUCCGACAACGGCAUGUGCGUGCGCGGCCACUGCAUCUUCUGGGAGGUGGACAACAUGGUGCAGCAGUGGGUCAAGACGCUCUCCACCGACGACCUCUCCGCCGCCGUCAAGAGCAGGAUUGACGGCCUGCUCACCCGCUACAAGGGCAAGUUCCGGCACUAUGACGUCAACAACGAGAUGCUGCACGGCUCCUUCUACCAGGAUAAGCUCGGCAAGGACAUCCGCGCCACCAUGUUCAAGACCGCCAGCGAGCUCGACCCCGACGCGCUGCUCUUCGUCAACGACUACAACGUGGAGGGCAUGUGUGACAUCCGCGCCACGCCCGAGGCGUACAUCGAGCAGAUCAUCGGGCUGCAGGAGCAGGGCGCGCCGGUGAGCGGCGUCGGGCUGCAGGGCCAUGUGAGCAACCCGGUGGGGCCGGUGAUCCGCAAUGUGCUGGACCGGCUCGCCGUGCUCGGCCUGCCGCUCUGGUUCACGGAGCUGGACGUGUCGGCGGCGAACGAGUACGUGCGCGCCGACGACCUGGAGGUGAUGCUGCGGGAGGCGUACGCGCACCCGGCGGUGGAGGGUGUCAUGCUCUGGGGGUUCUGGGAGCUCUUCAUGAGCCGCGACUCCGCGCACCUCGUCAAUGCCGAGGGGGACAUAAACGAGGCCGGACGCCGUCUGCUGCAGCUGAAGAAGGAGUGGCUCACGCACGCACACGGACACGCUGAUGAGAAUGGAGAGUUCAAGUUUCGGGGGCAUCACGGCGCGUACCACGUCGACGUGGUCACGCCCACCGGCUGCAAGAUCACGCAGGAGUUCACCGUCGACAAGGAUGACUCGCCCAUGGUGCUCAACAUCAAUGUGUGA
rnacentral:rRNA from 1 species